rnacentral:rRNA from 1 species
GACGAACGCUGGCGGCGUGCUUAACACAUGCAAGUCGAACGGAAAGGCCCUGCUUUUGUGGGGUGCUCGAGUGGCGAACGGGUGAGUAACACGUGAGUAACCUGCCCUUGACUUUGGGAUAGCUUCAGGAAACUGGGGCUAAUACCGGAUAGGAGCUCCUGCUGCAUGGUGGGGGUUGGAAAGUUUCGGCGGUUGGGGAUGGACUCGCGGCUUAUCAGCUUGUUGGUGGGGUAGUGGCUUACCAAGGCUUUGACGGGUAGCCGGCCUGAGAGGGUGACCGGCCACAUUGGGACUGAGAUACGGCCCAGACUCCUACGGGAGGCAGCAGUGGGGAAUAUUGCACAAUGGGCGGAAGCCUGAUGCAGCAACGCCGCGUGCGGGAUGACGGCCUUCGGGUUGUAAACCGCUUUCGCCUGUGACGAAGCGUGAGUGACGGUAAUGGGUAAAGAAGCACCGGCUAACUACGUGCCAGCAGCCGCGGUGAUACGUAGGGUGCGAGCGUUGUCCGGAUUUAUUGGGCGUAAAGGGCUCGUAGGUGGUUGAUCGCGUCGGAAGUGUAAUCUGGGGGCUUAACCCUGAGCGUGCUUUCGAUACGGGUUGACUUGAGGAAGGUAGGGGAGAAUGGAAUUCCUGGUGGAGCGGUGGAAUGCGCAGAUAUCAGGAGGAACACCAGUGGCGAAGGCGGUUCUCUGGGCCUUUCCUGACGCUGAGGAGCGAAAGCGUGGGGAGCGAACAGGCUUAGAUACCCUGGUAGUCCACGCUGUAAACGGUGGGUACUAGGUGUGGGGUCCAUUCCACGGGUUCCGUGCCGUAGCUAACGCUUUAAGUACCCCGCCUGGGGAGUACGGCCGCAAGGCUAAAACUCAAAGGAAUUGACGGGGCCCCGCACAAGCGGCGGAGCAUGCGGAUUAAUUCGAUGCAACGCGUAGAACCUUACCUGGGUUUGACAUGGAUCGGGAGCGCUCAGAGAUGGGUGUGCCUCUUUUGGGGUCGGUUCACAGGUGGUGCAUGGCUGUCGUCAGCUCGUGUCGUGAGAUGUUGGGUUAAGUCCCGCAACGAGCGCAACCCUUGUUCACUGUUGCCAGCACGUUAUGGUGGGGACUCAGUGGAGACCGCCGGGGUCAACUCGGAGGAAGGUGGGGAUGACGUCAAGUCAUCAUGCCCCUUAUGUCCAGGGCUUCACGCAUGCUACAAUGGCUGGUACAGAGAGUGGCGAGCCUGUGAGGGUGAGCGAAUCUCGGAAAGCCGGUCUCAGUUCGGAUUGGGGUCUGCAACUCGACCUCAUGAAGUCGGAGUCGCUAGUAAUCGCAGAUCAGCAACGCUGCGGUGAAUACGUUCCCGGGGCU